AGUUAAAUCACAGAAAAUAGUUAAAACAUGUUCUGGUUUCAGGCUAUCCAGAUGACCCUGUUCUCAUUGACGGUGAAAGAUGAUGUUUUGUACUGAUCAGUGAAUGAGGAUCCCUCAUAUUUCGUGGCUUAUUAUUUGGGAAUAAGGUCACUCUCUUUGAAGUAUUACCACAAGGGGCAGAAACUCAAGGAAAUACACAGACACUGACAGAGACAAAUUAAUCACAACUUUAAGUGGGUGACUGUAACAGGGUGAAAGAAGAUGGAGUGUGGAAAAACUGGCCUCCUGACAGGUGGAGACGCUAGGCUGGCUGAUGGAUAUGGCCUCAAUGAGAUGGCACAUACAGUAGGUAUAGAGCCCAGCUGUGGUGGCCAAAACCACUCCACUUUAUUCUUUUUCUUUUUAAAACAAAAAACGUAUUGCUGUUAUUAGUCCAUUGUUAAUUCAUCAAUGUUAACGUUUUCUUUCUUCAAUGGCGAUCAAGGUUGGGUCUCCUUUUCAAGUGUAAUCAUUCCUGCAUCACUCUGGACAAAGAAAAUCCACUAAGUCGUCAUGGAUACAAACAAGCACAGGACAAUACCAAAGACAAAAAUAUAAGGGGUGUGUGAAACUCAAACGACUAGGAAAGUGUGUCAGUUUGAAUUGUAUCAUGGAAUAAUGUCAAUUAAAAAACCCUCAAGAACUGGCCAUUCAAAAUGGAAUUAUCUGGAAACACUACUUUGAAAACUUCUAUAGUGAAACACCAGAGGACUAUCAAACAACAGAACAGAAUUGUAUUCAAGAAAAACUGAAAAGAUUAGAAUCAUGCAUUA